rnacentral:rRNA from 1 species
UUGACCUCGGAUCAGGUAGGAAUACCCGCGGAACUUAA